AACGAACGCUGGCGGCAGGCUUAACACAUGCAAGUUGAACGCCCCGCAAGGGGAGUGGCAGACGGGUGAGUAACACGUGGGAAUCUACCCAUCUCUGCGGAAUAGCUCCGGGAAACUGGAAUUAAUACCGCAUACGCCCUACGGGGGAAAGAUUUAUCGGGGAUGGAUGAGCCCGCGUUGGAUUAGCUAGUUGGUGGGGUAAAGGCCUACCAAGGCGACGAUCCAUAGCUGGUCUGAGAGGAUGAUCAGCCACAUUGGGACUGGGACACGGCCCAAACUCCUACGGGAGGCAGCAGUGGGGAAUGUUGGACAAUGGGCGCAAGCCUGAUCCAGCCAUGCCGCGUGAGUGAUGAAGGCCUUAGGGUUGUAAAGCUCUUUCACCGGUGAAGAUAAUGACGGUAACCGGAGAAGAAGCCCCGGCUAACUUCGUGCCAGCCGCCGCAGUAA
rnacentral:rRNA from 1 species